rnacentral:rRNA from 1 species
AUGGGAGGCGUUUGGGAGGAUCGACUAGGAAGGAUCGAACGGCACCUGGAGAAGACCUGCACAAGGGUGCCACAAAGAUCUCCAAGGACGUCCUCGACUCUGCCGGGUGAGAUGGAUUCUUUUCAUCUUUCAUUCUCCAGUCAUUAUGUUCUAGACCAAAUAGAUCCUAAUGCGAUCGAGUUGGAGGCGGAUUCAGACAACAGAUUCCUUUACAAAUUCGAAGCCAGAACUCAAAAAAGAAAGGGCAAGGAAAUGAAGGGCGCAAGACUACUAGAGGCAAAGACAGGCGAACACGGCCGGAGCAGUAUGGUGACGUCGAUGGGUGUGGAGGAGUGUGUGAAGACGCUGCAGAGCACUGCUGAGGAGCUUGUCAGCAGGACGAGCUGCUCCCGCUGCUGCAUGGCAACCCAACCGGAUCUGCCUCGACAGGUUCGAGCCCUCCAUGCUCUUGCCGCAAAUUCCUUAGGACCAGAUGGAGAGUGA